rnacentral:lncRNA from 1 species
GGAAUUUAAUGAUAAAAUCAUAAAACAUGUCCUCAACUCUUUUAUUCACAAAACUAAAGAAAAAUCACAAGUCAAAGCAAGUUUCUAAGUCCACAAGGGUGCAUUUCAUAUCAAAAUUAAGUACGAAAAUAACGGUUUUUCAACCGUUAUCAGUGUCCACAGCCUCGUAACUUCUCAACUGAAUUUGGUGUCAACAAUUUCAC